UUCCCUCUGGCUCAGAUGGUAAAGCGUCUGCCUGCAAUGCAGGAGACCCAGGUUCGAUCCCUGGGUCAGGAA
rnacentral:tRNA from 1 species